rnacentral:rRNA from 1 species
UGGGGAAUAUUGCACAAUGGGCGCAAGCCUGAUGCAGCCAUGCCGCGUGUGUGAAGAAGGCCUUCGGGUUGUAAAGCACUUUCAGCGAGGAGGAAGGUGGUGGACUUAAUACGUUCAUCAAUUGACGUUACUCGCAGAAGAAGCACCGGCUAACUCCGUGCCAGCAGCCGCGGUAAUACGGAGGGUGCAAGCGUUAAUCGGAAUUACUGGGCGUAAAGCGCACGCAGGCGGGUUUGUUAAGUCAGAUGUGAAAAUCCCCGGGCUCAACCUGGGAACUGCAUUUGAAACUGGCAAGCUAGAGUCUCGUAGAGGGGGGUAGAAUUCCAGGUGUAGCGGUGAAAUGCGUAGAGAUCUGGAGGAAUACCGGUGGCGAAGGCGGCCCCCUGGACGAAGACUGACGCUCAGGUGCGAAAAGCGUGGGGCAGCAAACAGGAUUAGAUACCCUGGUAGGUCCACGCUGUAAACGAUGUGCGAUUUGGAGGUUGUGCCCCUUGAGGCGUGGCUUCCGGAGCUAACG